rnacentral:rRNA from 1 species
UGCCAGCAGCCGCGGUAAUACGGAGUGUGCAAGCGUUACUCGGAAUCACUGGGCAUAAAGCGCACGCAGGCGGGUAGUUUAGUCGGCCGUGAAAGCCCCCGGCCCAACCGGGGAACUGCGACCGAAACUGGCUGUCUUGAGGGCGAGAGGGGUGAGCGGAACUUCUGGUGGAGCGGUGAAAUGCGUAGAUAUCAGAAGGAACACCGGUGGUGAAAACGGCUCACUGGCUCGUUUCUGACGCUGAGGUGCGAAAGCGUGGGUAGCGAACGGGAUUAGAUA